GACGAACCGUGCGAACGUUGUUCGGAAUCACUGGGCUUAAAGGGCGCGUAGGCGGACCGCCAAGUCGGGGGUGAAAUCUUUCGGCCCAACCGGAAAAGCGCUUCCGAUACUGGCGGCCUCGAGGGAGGUAGGGGUCGGCGGAACUGGUGGUGGAGCGGUGAAAUGCGUAGAUAUCACUAGGAACGCCGGUGGCGAAAGCGGCCGACUGGACCGUCUUCUGA
rnacentral:rRNA from 1 species